rnacentral:lncRNA from 1 species
GUUUUGAUUCUGUUCUCUACAACUUUCCCUCUUUCAAUAUUCCUGCUUGAAUAUUUUCCGAGAGAGAGAGAGAGAGAGAGAGAGAGAGAGAGGGAGAGAGAGAGAGAGAGAGAGAGAGAGAGAGAGAGAGAGAGAGAGAAUCUCAUGCAGCUCAGGCUGGCCUCAGUGUCACUGUGUAGCUGAAGCUGUUUUUGAACUCCUGACCCUGUUUCCAUCUCUCAUGUUCUAGGUUUGCCAGCAUGGUCCUUUUACCUACAGGUGUUUAAUUUCUUCAGUACCAUUUGUUGAAAACUCUUUGUAGUGCAUCAAUUUUACUUCUUUUGUUUUUGUUUUUAUUCAAGACAGGGUUUCUCUGUGUAGCCCUGACUGUCCUAGAACUAGCUCUGUAGACCAGGCUGGCCUCGAACUCAGAGAGAUCUGCUUGCCUCUGCCUCCAGAGUGCUGGGAUCAAAGGCAUGCCCCACCACCUCUUGACUUAGUUUACAUUUUUAUCAAAAAUUAUUUAGGAGCUGCAAGAUGGCUCAGUGAGUCAAAGUGUUUGCUGCUGAGCCCGGUAACUUCUGACCUCUGACACAGCACAGUGGCAUGCAUGCACCCCUACACACAGGUUUGUCCACACCCCAGAGGCUCCACACAGCUGUCUGCAAGGCGGAGAGUGGGGGAAGCCAGUACCUGCUCUGUCUAGGAAGCUGCAGCGGCCAGGAAUGCUGCCCCCUUCAGGCUGAGGGCUGGAAGCUCUCUGGAAAGUCUCCGGUUUGAGCCCAGGCUCAAAGGCUGGAGAAGUUGGACCCUGACGUCCACGAGGUUGCCAGCUUCUUCGUUUUUAUUUUCAUCAUUGUCCCUGACGUGUGUGGUGACGUCAUGCUUAGGUGAGUCAGCUGAGAGAAGUCUGGACCAUUACGUCGUGACCAGGACCCAUCUAGAACACUGGGUAACCAUGGAGCAGCACCUGACACUGAGUGGAAACUUACUCGGGCUCAGCUGAGAGGCACGGAGCUUGCCUAGAGAAGACAUGGGUUUCACCCCCAGUGAUACAAAUAAAGCCACAAAAUACAAAUAAACUUAAGUCAACUGAAAACAGACAAACAAAAAUCAACAAAACCAGAAAAUGUCCAAAAACCUGAACCCGAGUCCCACUGUGCCUCCCAACAGUCUGUUUGCUUUGGGGCUGCAAUGCUGUACUCAGCGCGAGGGAAAUUCGAUAAAAUUUUCACCUUUCUCCCUGACCUUAAUUAGCCCUGCAGAAUAUGAGUGUAAAUAUAAUAAUAAUAGAUGUAUGUAGAAUAUAACGGUAUGUAAAAGUUGGCAUGCUCAUGACAUAUCUUCACAGCACCAGAACACGGACUGAGACAGAGGUAACUCCUGUUAGCUUCUACAUCUUACCCAAGUGCUUACCCCCCCCACACCACUGUGUGAUAUUUGUUGAAAAACAUCGAAAUCCUUUAUUUACCUGGAGUAUGCUGCACAGAAUUCAAAUUGAUUUAAAAAAAUGGAACUGACUGCAAUUCAAUUCUUGUUUUUUUUUUUUUUUUCCCUUAAGUUAGAGCCUCAUGUUUUUAAGGAAAUGGGAAUAAAAUGCCAUUACCCUGGUCGAUUAUGACACAUUGAGUACAUGUAUUAUUAUCACACCAUAGCUCACAAUAUGUAAGAUACACACACACACACACACACACACACACACACAGAGAGAUACACAUACACACACACGUAGAAAUGAAAAGUUCUUGUAGAUAAUGAGAAAAUGG